rnacentral:rRNA from 1 species
CAUAUGAGAUGGAUUAAAGUUACGGCGGUUCAAGAUGGGCAUGCGUGACAUUAGCUAGUUGGUGAGGUAACGGCUCACCAAGGCGACGAUGUCUAGGGGUCCUGAGAGGGUUUCCCCCCACACUGGUACUGAGACACGGACCAGACUCCUACGGGAGGCAGCAGUAAGGAAUAUUGGUCAAUGGACGCAAGUCUGAACCAGCCAUGCCGCGUGCAGGAUGACUGCCCUACGGGUUGUAAACUGCUUUUACGUGAGAAAAAACUCCCCGAUUCGUUCGGGGACUGAUGGUAUCACAUGAAUAAGCAUCGGCUAACUCCGUGCCAGCAGCCGCGGUAAUACGGAGGAUGCAAGCGUUAUCCGGAUUCAUUGGGUUUAAAGGGUGUGCAGGCGGAAUGAUAAGUCAGAGGUGAAAUCCCCCGGCUCAACCGGGGACCUGCCUUUGAUACUGUUGUUCUUGAGUAUAGUUGAGGCGGGCGGAAUGUGUCAUGUAGCGGUGAAAUGCAUAGAUAUGACACAGAACACCGAUAGCGAAGGCAGCUCACUAACCUAUAACUGACGCUCCUGCACGAAAGCGUGGGGAGCAAACAGGAUUAGAUACCCUGGUAGUCCACGCUGUAAACUAUGAUCACUAGUUGUUAGCGAUACACUGUUAGCGACUGAGGGAAACCAUUAAGUGAUCCACCUGGGGAGUACGGCCGCAAGGUUGAAACUCAAAGGAAUUGACGGGGGCCCGCACAAGCGGAGGAGCAUGUGGUUUAAUUCGAUGAUACGCGAGGAACCUUACCUGGGCUUAAAUGCAGGACGACAUCCCGUGAAAACGGGAUUUCUUCGGACGGCCUGCAAGGUGCUGCAUGGUUGUCGUCAGCUCGUGCCGUGAGGUGUCGGGUUAAGUCCCAUAACGAGCGCAACCCCUAUUCUUAGUUGCCAUCAGGUAAUGCUGGGAACUCUAAGGAAACUGCCUACGCAAGUAGUGAGGAAGGUGGGGAUGACGUCAAAUCAGCACGGCCCUUAUGUCCAGGGCGACACACGUGCUACAAUGGCCGAUACAGAGGGGAGCUAACUGGUGACAGUCUGC